CGGGAUGUAGCUCAGCCUGGUAGAGCGUUCGGUUCGGGAUCGAAAGGUCGCUGGUUCGAAUCCAGUCAUCCCGA
rnacentral:tRNA from 1 species